GAACUGCUGAAGAGUCCCAUACUAGGACGAAGCAACCGUCCAGUGC
rnacentral:hammerhead_ribozyme from 1 species